rnacentral:rRNA from 1 species
UGGGGAAUAUUGCACAAUGGGCGCAAGCCUGAUGCAGCGACGCCGCGUGAGGGAUGACGGCCUUCGGGUUGUAAACCUCUUUCACCAGGGACGAAGCGAAAGUGACGGUACCUGGAGAAGAAGCACCGGCCAACUACGUG